UUGACAUGUCUGGUAAUCUUGGUGAGAGCCGAGGUGCCUUCGGGAGCCGAGAACACAGGUGCUGCAUGGCUGUCGUUCAGCUCGUGUCGCGAGAUGUUGGGUUAAGUCCCGCAACGAGCGCAACCCUUAUCAUUAGUUGCUACGCAAGGGCACUCGUAAUGAGACUGCCGGUGACAAACCGGAGAAGUGGGGAUGACGUCAAGUCCUCAUGGCCCUUAUGGGUAGGGCUUCACACGUCAUACAAUGGUCGGUACAGAGGGUUGCCAAGCCGCGAGGCGGAGCCAAUCCCACAAAGCCGAUCGUAGUCCGGAUUGUUCUCUGCAACUCGAGAGCAUGAAGUCGGAAUCGCUAGUAAUCGCAGGUCAGCAUACUGCGGUGAAUACGUUCCCGGGUCUU
rnacentral:rRNA from 1 species